GCCGGAGUAGCCCAAUUGAUUAGAGGCAUAUGUUUACUAAACAUAAGAAUAUUGGUUCAAAUCCAAUCUCCGGUACCA
rnacentral:tRNA from 1 species